AUCAAUUAUUAUGUCGGUUAAGAAAAGAAAUAAAGCAUAGCAUGGCCACCAUUAAAUUGGUUCUCACAAAUUUUUCAGGAUAUUUGAAGGUGAUCCAUGUGAGAUCACUACACUUUGUGAGGCUGAAUAUCGUCAGCAUAUUCUUCAGCAAACUCUAGAGCAAGUGCAGUUAAGAAAGGUAAGAUAAUAAUAUACUCAUAAGUUUAGGGUGUUAAUGGUAUGCAUUAACAAAGCUUAAAUGAAAAUACACUUCACAGUCUUGUUUUGAACAGAGUGUCUUAGAAGAAGAGUUUAAUUUUGGUGUAUCUGAUCAACAGGUAUGUAAAGGUUAAGUUUUUCUCACCUCCAUGAAUUUGUUUACAUAUAUAUUUCCCAUUUUCAAAUAUAUAUUGGAUUGGCACAUCUAUUUAAAAAAAAAAUACAACAAAAUAUAGAAUUUGAUGAGAAUAGAACUUUUGCAUAGGAUUCCAGAUUAAGAUUAUUAUUUUUAUAUCAGGUGAAUCUUGCAAACACGGUAGAUGUAGAUGGAUUAUUUGUUGGCGAGACAUCAAAUAAUCCAGUAGAGUGGCUCCCACAGGAAGAUCCAAAUGUUAAUAUUCUCAACUUUGUUGAUGCCUAUGCUCCUGCUCUUCUUUGGGGUCAACAAUCACAUAGUGCUGUUGUUGACAUGUUAGGCACAAGUUCUACCCUUGUGCCUUCUACAAACACCCUUCAACUUCAAAUGAAUCCAGAUAAUAAUAGUUUAGAAGUCUGCACACUAUCUCCUGACUUUGGACAAGUUAUAGAUAUCAAUGGUUCCUCUUGGGAGCAACUCCAUGAUUUAGGGAAUGGAUCUUUGUCAAUAGCAGAGGCAAGGGAGCAAGAACAACUAAUUGAACAAUAUCUGUCUCAAUUUCCUUCUUCAGAUAUCUUAAUAUCCGAUCAACAUCAUCAAAUAUGAUGAAUGCCAUCUUAGUUUAAUUUGCUUCUAGAAAAUAAAACAUCUUAGAGUUACUUCUUUUUUUUUUUCUGGAUGAGACAAAUUAGUUUUUGAUUUGCUAGUCUGCUAUACAUACAAGUUAGUUUCUUUCAUAUCUGAUGUCAGUUUCUAACUUUC